GAAUAAUUGUAAGGUGAACAUGUCUAGCGGACAGAUAUCAUCUUACAUUGACCUCAUUUUCAUGGUUCAGUGGUCAAAGUUAAGUUUUUUGAGUUUUGGUCUUUUUAUCUGAUACUAUACGCCAUAGGUCAACUAUAUUUAGUGUAUGGAAAUAUUUUAUGAUUUAUAUAUUAGUCGUGCAGGCUUUAUUUGACCUUGACCUCAUUUUCACGGUUCAUUGCUCAGUCUUAAGAUUUUGUGUUUUGGUCUAUUUUUCUUAAACUAUAAGUAUUAGGUCAACUAUAUUUGUUUUAUGGAAGCAUUGUUAGCUGUACAUGUCAGCCUGACAUGGUUCAUCUGACCUUGACCUCAUUUUCAUGGUUCAUUGGUCUUUGUUUAGUUAUCUUGGUUAAUGUAACGUUUAUGUGACAGUUGUAAUAAAGCUUUAUACUUAGGACUAUCAACAUAAUAUCAAUGAUUAGUAAAGAAGGCGAGACAUUUCAGUGUGUGCACUCUUGUUAUAAAUU
rnacentral:lncRNA from 1 species